AAUCAACGCUGGCGGCGUGCCUCAGACAUGCAAGUCGAACGAGAAGGUUUCCUUCGGGAGACGAGUACAGUGGCGUCCGGGUGAGUAACACGUGGGUAAUUUACCUUUGGGUGGGGAACUAGCAGGCCGGAAACGGCUAUUAUACCGCAUAAUGCAGCGGCUCGACAUCGAGACAGUUGUUAAAGCGGGGAUCUGACAAGGACCUCGCGCCUAAAGAGAAGCCUGCGUCAGAUUAGCUAGUUGUAGGGUAAUGGCCUACCAAGGCUGUGAUCUGUAGCCGGCCUGAGAGGGCGGUCGGCCAC
rnacentral:rRNA from 1 species